rnacentral:rRNA from 3 species
UCUGACCUCAAAUCAGGUAGGAUUACCCGCUGAACUUAAGCAUAUCAAUAAGCGGAGGAAAAGAAACUAACAAGGAUUCCCUUAGUAAC